GAGUAAUCUAGAAAAUUGUAUUAUAUUAUUUACUGUAGACAGUUCUAAUGCCCAUGCUAGAACUUACAUAUUUAUUAGACAACUUCUUCUUUAUAUCCUCUCCGCAAUCUUUUAACACAAAAGCGGUAUGUUGAAUGUAUAAAAUAUAAGGUAAUACAUACCUGCAGAAUAAUAUCCUUCUUACACGAUCCAACGGUAUUGUUUGAAGGAAUAUUAUCGAAGCCGCAGGGAUGGAAAUUGAAAUUAUACAAGGAAUAUAUUUCUCAAUACUUCCAGAAAUCACUACUGUAAAUAUAAAGGAAAAUAGACCCCAAAUUAAAUAUACAAUAAUGGUUGAAGAAACUCUCAGGUUCAAGUAUGUUCCUGCAAUCAAUAAACUUGAUGAAAGGGUUAAAAAUCUUAAUGAAAUAUUACCCAUUAAAAUACAGUCAAUUAUAUUACAAAAAAUUGUCCAAGACCCAAUAAUAAUGCUUAACCAUUGAAUACAGGAGUGAAUAGAUUCAGAAAAUUUAGGAUAUAGUACAAUUUUUCUUGAAAAAGCGUUGAUUAUUCUUUCCUUAAUGGAGCCUCCCUUCAGAAGAUGUUCUUGAUCGCUUUUGCUUUUUUCUCUUUUUCUAAUUAUUUUAUUUACUUUGCAGAGGAUAUAUAUCAUUCCAAUUAAAAUCAUAGAAACUAUAACUUGAAUUCCCUCUCUAAAAAUGAAAAAAAUGAUUUUUCUUUUAUUUGAAGUCUGUAUUAAACACACAUAAGGUGAAUAUAUACAUAGUAGUUGUUUAGACUUAUUAGAAAAUAAUAAAAGCCAUUCUGCUGAAGACAUUAGUGGAACGAUAAUACAAGAUAAUAAUAUAUAAUGGAGAGAAUGUUCAAUCGUGUUACAAGAGUAAAAUUGUAACCAUUGAGUAUACAUACCUUCGAUCUCCUGGUCAAGAAAAACUUGAGAAACAGCUUUUGUUGAAAUGGGAAGAGUAGAAUCUGGGAACUCUGCAAAUCUAAUAGUUAAUAUAAAACUUUCGCAUUUAUACAUUAAGCUCCUAAAUAAUUUUUUCAUUCUUUGUCUAUAUUUGUCAAUAAAUGUCAUUGAUGGAGAAAAACGUUCAAAAACAUCGUUUUUUUUUUUAAUCAACAAUCGGUUGUAUAAUCCCUGUAAAGUUGAAGAAUGAGGGACUGACUCAAAGUCAUCAAUAGAUUGUAUUGGAGUGUUCAAAAAAGUUGAAGACCCUAUUGAAGAAGAUUCAUUUGAAUUAUCUGCAAAAGAUAGUGCCCUAGAUAUAUUUGCAGAAUGUAUUGAAGAUGGAUUUAUUAAUGACAUCGAAGACGAAUAAUUGUCAGAGUCAAC
rnacentral:antisense_RNA from 1 species